rnacentral:rRNA from 1 species
UACGUAGGGGGCAAGCGUUGUCCGGAUUUAUUGGGCGUAAAGAGCGUGUAGGCGGCCAGACAAGUCUGCUGUGAAAACUCGAGGCUCAACCUCGAGCUGUCGGUGGAAACUGUCUGGCUAGAGUCCGGAAGAGGAGAGUGGAAUUCCUGGUGUAGCGGUGAAAUGCGCAGAUAUCAGGAAGAACACCCGUGGCGAAGGCGGUUCUCUGGGACGGUACUGACGCUGAGACGCGAAAGCGUGGGGAGCGAACAGG